CAGAGACCAGCAGUCAAGCCCUGAUUCGGAUAUAGCUUUUUUUUCUAUAGCAGGGUCACAUUCUCAAAAGCUGCAGCUUUAAGGGGCCAGAAACUGCUCCAUACAACCCUCAACAGUCUUUGUGAGAAGACAGUUGUUGUUUGCUGCUGCCACAAAGGAUUAUGAGACAGGCGGUCCUGUUCUACCAGAACUGCCCUACCCGAGAACUACAUGAAUGCCUGCUGCAAACCACUUGCCAGACUGAGAGGACCCAGGUCCCAUAAGGAGCCUCCGAUGAGCACAUCAGCAUGAUGCUAGGAAAGUGAAACCAGGACUUUCAGCUCCUCAGCCACAUAAGUAAUAGGAAAAUCUCCAGUGACUACUUAUAUAACAAGCCAGUUUCCCUUAAUGGGGCCAGCUACUGCUCAGGAACAGAAGUCUCACACCAUGGGCAGGACCACCAGCUAGAAGAGGGUGCUGAACAGCUCUAUGCUGUUGCUGGAUUGCUCUACUCUUACUGUGGGCCAUGGCACACUCUUGCAUUUAGCUGAAGGCAGUGAAUUGUCUGAGGGAGAGAGUCUCAGUGCCAUACAUUAUAUGACUGGUAGGAGCUUUUCAGACCAUCUAAUAUCACUUCUGUACCACAUAUGUCAAGGCCGUCUCUGAAUUUCCAUCUGAUCCAGAAUGAAAUAUGUGAUUCAGAAACCCCCUACUCCGAUUACAAAAUUCCCCAGUCACAUAGAAGCCAUCAUGUGCUAACUUCUUCCAAUCUCAAAUCACUGCUCGUGUUGAAAAAGUCAGUUUUAUGUACAGCCUGACUUUAGCUUCAGCUUUAUUGUAUUUUGGUUAGUAGAAUUAGCCAAGUAGUUUUCAGCAAAACAUUUCUUUGUUUAAAAAUAAAUAAACAAAUAAAUAAAUGACUAAAUAAAGAAAGCAAGCAGAUUUGUGGAAAAGGGUUAGUUGUGAUGGGAUUUCUCAACUCCUUCCUGUUAGGCAAUUUUUAAUUGAAACAUUCCAGAUUACCAGUCAAUAACUAUGUUUUGUUUUGUUUUGUUUUGUUUUCUGGGACUUUAAUAACUUGAUAUAAACUGGAAAUGGUCCAAAUAAAAAUGACACAUUCAGAAAUUAUUUACACCAUCUUUUCACUGCAAGAGGUCUGUGUGAGUGUAUAAGGCAUAAACAUUAACGGCUAUCAGUGUUGCUUUUGCUUUUGAAGGGCAAUUUACAACAAGGAAGUAAAUAUAAUUAGUUCACAUUCAAAUGGCAUUUUUCCAUCCUUGAAAAACUAGUAUAUUUUAUAGCUAGUGUAUAAAUAUGCCUGUGGUAAAUUACUUCACAUCAGUGAACUGAAUUGGCCAUACAGCUCCAGUUCUGCUAAGCCAUUUGCAAGAAGAAAUGAGAUAUUUCUUUUUUUAAAGAAAACUUACUCCGCACCGGAAAAAGUCUUCACUGAUGAAAGAGGGUCAUGUUCUAUAAAUAAAACUCUGAAGGCUUGGGCUUUCUUCGAAAA